AAAUAGAACUUUGCAGAGAGAGUUAAGAGGGCGUGAAACCGUUAAUUGGCAAACGAAUCGGAGCCACGAAGUCGUUUCGUUGAUCUAGUUGAGUCAAGUUCAGUAAGCAUAUUCAAAAAGUAUGUUUGCGUAUUCUUGUGUUUCUCAACCAAAAAUCAUUGUAAGCGUACACUGCAACUAGUUAGACAAUUGAAAAUGGAACCAGUUGCAAAGUUGGAGCUUCACGGCCUCAUUUUUUGUAAUGAAAUAUAUAUUUGUUUUAGUUAGUAGUAGUGUUGUGGUUAUUUAAUUAGCCAUUGAUGUUGCUGGAUUAAAACAAGUGAACUAUUUUCAAAUACUGACUAGCAAAAUGAAAAUCGCUUUAUACAAGCGUUAUACAAAAGGUGUCUUCCAAUAUUAAUGACUACAUUCUUAACCAUGAGGUUUAAGCUUAACAUUUUUGAAUUUGAACUUGCUUGCUACCAAUGGGGCAACUCUUGGUGCUUGUAUAGCUUUCAUCUAAUCGGGUGUUGACUUGAUUUUGUGUUUUGUUUAAGAAUGCUAUGAUAGGUUGUUAAUAUUAGGUGAGAUCGCCAUUUUGAAUUGGCAGUGAGUAGGUCGGCUUUCCGAACGACCCGUCUUGAAACACGGACCAAGGAGUCUAAUUAGGCAUCAAGUCGAUCGGUCUUGAAUAGGCCAGACUGGAACUAUAUGUUCUGAAUGAAGGCACAGAGAAAUCAAAUCAUGUGAUCAUUUCAACAAUACCAGUUGAUUUGCGCAACAUGUACCUGCUCGUAUAGCAAUGUGCAGCAAUGUACUUGCUGGGCGGAGUAAAGAGAUGCUUGAUUGGUACCCGAAAGAUGGUGAACUAUGCUUGGGCAAAUUGAAGCCAGAGGAAACUCUGGUGGAGGAUUGUAGCGAUUCUGACGUGCAAAUCGAUCGUCAGACCUGAGUAUAGGGGCGAAAGACUAAUCGAACCAUC
rnacentral:rRNA from 1 species